rnacentral:rRNA from 1 species
UAUGAACGCUGGCGGCGUGCUUAACACAUGCAAGUCGAACGCGAAAGCUUCUUCGGAAGUGAGUAGAGUGGCGGACGGGUGAGUAACGCGUGAGAAUUUACUCUUUAGUGAAGAAUACCUUCGGGAAACUGAAGUUAAUACUGCAUAAGCCCUACGGGGGAAAGGUGGCCUCUUGCUGCCGCUAAAGAAUAAGCUCGCGUACUAUUAGUUUGUUGGUGGGGUAAAAGCCUACCAAGACGACGAUGGUUAACCGGCCUGAGAGGGUGAACGGUCACACUGGAACUUAGAUACGGUCCAG